UACAGAGGGUGCGAGCGUUGUCCGGAAUCACUGGGCGUAAAGGGCGCGUAGGCGGCCCGUCAAGCGUGUGGUGAAAGCCCGGGGCUCAACCCCGGGUCGGCCGUGCGGACUGGCGGGCUCGAGCACUGUAGGGGCGGGUGGAAUUCCGGGUGUAGCGGUGGAAUGCGCAGAUAUCAGGAGGAACACCGGUGGCGAAGGCGGGUCUCUGGGCAGUAACUGACGCUGAGGAGCGAAAGCGUGGGGAGCAAACAGG
rnacentral:rRNA from 1 species